GGGGUAGCUGAGUGGGAGAGCACCUGCUUUGCAUGCAAAAGAUGCCAGGUUCAAUCCUUGACAUCUCCA